AUGUUCGCCUGGCACCGGCGUCACGUGAAGUCUGAAGUCACUCUUACCCAGUUACAUUUGACAGAGGAGAAAAUUAAAGCUCAGAAAGGAUACCGCUGGCUUUGCUCCAUCCCUUUGGCAAGACAGCACACCCAGAGCUGGAGUAUGCUGCUCAUUUGGGAAGGGGAGAUGUCCUGGGCCCAGGGUUUGGAAAUGUCUUCUUGGACAAGCUUAAGCCGGUCUGUUGCCACUGGAGAAGAAAUGUAUUCUUGGGUGCCCCAGGCAAAAGAUCAGAUAUCAAAUCAACUGAAGCACUCAGAAGGAAAAACAAACAGGAGUGCAUUUCCAGAUGUGGAGAGAGGAUUGCUUGGGACUCUUCGCAGGUCUUGAGAUUCCAUGUAGGCUGUGAACACUAAGGAGUGUGUGGAGCUUGUGUCUGAACUUCACCUCUCUAAUGAUGACCAUCCCUGAAAUGAAAAGAAAACCGGUGCUAAAUGGAAAUACCUUCUUUCUUUCCCUCCCACAGCUCAUGCAUAUAUCUUCUACACUCAACGAGCAUCUCUAGAGGAGGUGCCAGCUCUCUCAACAAGUAAUUCCUUUUGGCCCCAUCACAGAAGGGAAGUACAAUCAGCAGCAAUGAAGCUUCUUUAUUCCUUGCUAAUUUAGUGCCAGGACACAUGAUAUGCACAGCUUUGUGAGUGGGAGAGUUUCAAAGCAGGAAGCUUGGAUCUGACUUAGGGAGGCUGGUUAUCCACUUAUGAUACUUGACUUAGCAGAAACCAGUCCGCGUGAAAGCUGUUGUGGGGCCCCCUGCUGGCAUUGUGACAUGGAGACACUUCAUCCUCAGUGAACCUACAGUUCUCUCUGGGAAGCUUUAAGUUCAACAGGGCUGUGGACUUGAAGAGGUUCUUGCUGUAGGCUAGGAAAGUAGAUUGUAGUACUACUACUACUGCCAGUACUACCUUUUCUACUGUUUUUGGGUUUCGUGGGCCACUUUGAAACUCUAACCACAGUAUUUUCAACCUUGCAAUGGUAAAAUGCAUUGUAAAUAAAAAUUUUAACUUAAAGAAUAC
rnacentral:lncRNA from 1 species